AGCGAACGCUGGCGGCAGGCCUAACACAUGCAAGUCGAACGAACCUUUCGGGGUUAGUGGCGGACGGGUGAGUAACACGGGGGAACGUGCCCUUAAGUUCGGAAUAACUCAGUGAAACUUGUGCUAAUACCGCAUGUGCUCUUCGGGGGAAAGAUUUAUCGCCUUUAGAGCGGCCCGCGUCUGAUUAGCUAGUUGGUUGAGGUAAUGGCUCACCAAGGCGACGAUCAGUAGCUGGUCUGAGAGGAUGAUCAGCCACAUUGGGACUGAGACACGGCCCAAACUCCUACGGGAGGCAGCAGUGGGGAAUCUUGCGCAAUGGGCGAAAGCCUGACGCAGCCAUGCCGCGUGAAUGAUGAAGGUCUUAGGAUUGUAAAAUUCUUUCACCGGGGACGAUAAUGACGGUACCCGGAGAAGAAGCCCCGGCUAACUUCGUG
rnacentral:rRNA from 1 species